UACGUAGGGACCAAGCGUUGUUCGGAUUUACUGGGCGUAAAGGGCGCGUAGGCGGCAAUUCAAGUCAUCUGUGAAAUCUCCGGGCUUAACCCGGAACGGUCAGGUGAUACUGUUUUGCUAGAGUGCGGAAGGGGCAAUCGGAAUUCUCGGUGUAGCGGUGAAAUGCGUAGAUAUCGAGAGGAACACCAGAGGUGAAGACGGGUUGCUGGGCCGACACUGACGCUGACAGCGCGAAAGCUAGGGUAGCAAACGGG
rnacentral:rRNA from 1 species